UACGUAGGUGGCAAGCGAUACUCGGAAUCACUAGGCGUAAAGCGCAGGUAGGCGGUGCAAUAAGUCUCUUGUGAAAGCUCCCGGCUUAACUGGAGAGGUCAAGGGAACUGUUGUGCUAGAGUGUGGCAGAGGAAGCUAGAAUUCCCGGUGUAGCGGUGAAAUGCGCAGAUAUCAGGAGGAACACCGGUGGCGAAGGCGGUUCUCCUGGGCAUGAUCCUGACGCUGGAGGAGCGAAAGUGUCGGGAGCGAACAGG
rnacentral:rRNA from 1 species